UCUACGGGAGGCAGCAGUAGGGAAUCUUCCGCAAUGGACGAAAGUCUGACGGAGCAACGCCGCGUGAGUGAUGAAGGUUUUCGGAUCGUAAAGCUCUGUUGUUAGGGAAGAACAAGUACCGUUCGAAUAGGGCGGUACCUUGACGGUACCUAACCAGAAAGCCACGGCUAACUACGUGCCAGCAGCCGCGGUAAUACGUAGGUGGCAAGCGUUGUCCGGAAUUAUUGGGCGUAAAGGGCUCGCAGGCGGUUUCUUAAGUCUGAUGUGAAAGCCCCCGGCUCAACCGGGGAGGGUCAUUGGAAACUGGGGAACUUGAGUGCAGAAGAGGAGAGUGGAAUUCCACGUGUAGCGGUGAAAUGCGUGGAGAUGUGGAGGAACACCAGUGGCGAAGGCGACUCUCUGGUCUGUAACUGACGCUGAGGAGCGAAAGCGUGGGGAGCGAACAGGAUUAGAUACCCUGGUAGUCCACGCCGUAAACGAUGAGUGCUAAGUGUUAGGGGGUUUCCGCCCCUUAGUGCUGCAGCUAACGCAUUAAGCACUCCGCCUGGGGGGUACGGUCGCAAGACUGAAACUUAAAGGAAUUGACGGA
rnacentral:rRNA from 1 species